UACGGAGGGUGCAAGCGUUAUCCGGAUUCACUGGGUUUAAAGGGUGCGUAGGAGGGCAGGUAAGUCAGUGGUGAAAUCCUGGGGCUUAACCCCAGAACUGCCGUUGAUACUAUCGGUCUUGAAUGUCGUGGAGGUGAGCGGAAUAUGUCAUGUAGCGGUGAAAUGCUUAGAUAUGACAUAGAACACCAAUUGCGAAGGCAGAUGGGUACACGGAUAUUGACUCUGAGGCACGAAAGCGUGGGGAUCAAACAGG
rnacentral:rRNA from 1 species